GACGAACGCUGGCGGCGUGCUUAACACAUGCAAGUCGAACGGAAAGGCCCUGCUUUUGUGGGGUGCUCGAGUGGCGAACGGGUGAGUAACACGUGAGUAACCUGCCCUUGACUUUGGGAUAACUUCAGGAAACUGGGGCUAAUACCGGAUAGGAGCUCCUGCUGCAUGGUGGGGGUUGGAAAGUUUCGGCGGUUGGGGAUGGACUCGCGGCUUAUCAGCUUGUUGGUGGGGUAGUGGCUUACCAAGGCUUUGACGGGUAGCCGGCCUGAGAGGGUGACCGGCCACAUUGGGACUGAGAUACGGCCCAGACUCCUACGGGAGGCAGCAGUGGGGAAUAUUGCACAAUGGGCGGAAGCCUGAUGCAGCAACGCCGCGUGCGGGAGGACGGCCUUCGGGUGGUAAGCCGCUUUCGCCUGUGACGAAGCGUGAGUGACGGUAAUGGGGAAAGAAGCACCGGCUAACUACGU
rnacentral:rRNA from 1 species